UGAACAUAGUUCAGACAUACAAGUGUCAACAGUUUGCACUUUGUGUAGUGUUCACGACACUCGCACACCAUCAUAAGAUAAUGCUGUAUUACCAUAAAUAUAGAUGGCUACUUCCACUACAGAAGAAACAUAAUGUGUCUGACAUUUAUUUCAAAUGAACAUCCAUUAUGUACGGUG